rnacentral:rRNA from 1 species
UAGAGUUUGAUCCUGGCUCAGAUUGAACGCUGGCGGCAGGCCUAACACAUGCAAGUCGAGCGGUAGAGAGAAGCUUGCUUCUCUUGAGAGCGGCGGACGGGUGAGUAAUGCCUAGGAAUCUGCCUGGUAGUGGGGGAUAACGUUCGGAAACGGACGCUAAUACCGCAUACGUCCUACGGGAGAAAGCAGGGGACCUUCGGGCCUUGCGCUAUCAGAUGAGCCUAGGUCGGAUUAGCUAGUUGGUGAGGUAAUGGCUCACCAAGGCGACGAUCCGUAACUGGUCUGAGAGGAUGAUCAGUCACACUGGAACUGAGACACGGUCCAGACUCCUACGGGAGGCAGCAUGGGGAAUAUUGGACAAUGGGCGAAAGCCUGAUCCAGCCAUGCCGCGUGUGUGAAGAAGGUCUUCGGAUUGUAAAGCACUUUAAGUUGGGAGGAAGGGCAGUUACCUAAUACGUGAUUGUUUUGACGUUA